rnacentral:rRNA from 1 species
UACGUAGGGGGCAAGCGUUGUUCGGAAUUACUGGGCGUAAAGGGCGCAUAGGCGGCACGGCAAGUCAGGAGUGAAAGGCCUGGGCUCAACCGAGGAACUGCUUUUGAGACUGCCGAGCUAGAGUGCAGAAGGGGCAACUGGAAUUCCCAGUGUAGCGGUGAAAUGCGUAGAUAUUGGGAAGAACACCUGAGGCGAAGGCGGCAUCCUGGACCGACACUGACGCUGAUGAGCGAAAGCCAGGGGAGCAAACGGG